UCGGCUUUUGGCUUCCCCACCCCCCAGCCCUUCAGCCCCCUAUAAAACAACCCUGCCCCUCUGAGCAGCGCGGCCAUUUUUCCUUUUCGUCCCGGCUGGCCCGCCCGGAGGCUCUUUCCUCUCAAUAAAGCCUGAACUUAAGGAAUUUCCUCUAGCCUGCGGUCCGGUUUCUUUCCCAAUGAGCCCAGUCUUCCCGCAGAGGGUAGGUCGGACAAAUGGUGCCGGAAACCCGGGACGGGAGCUGAGGCCGUUGGCCCGGCCACGGCCCCCCUCCCCGACCUACCCAACACUGGCCCUGCCACCUCCACGUUCCGAUUAAGGAAUCCAGUGGAAGCUACACGCCGCCUACCAUCCUCAGUCCUCUGGUAAGGUGGAACGGGCCAAUGGCCUAAUAAAGGAGCAUCUGACCAAGCUCAUGCUUGAGCUCCGCCAAUCCUGGGUAACCUUGCUUCCUAUUGCCCUCACCAGGUUAAGAGCAAGCCCCCGGGGCCCGUCACAGCUUAGCCCAUUUGAGCUGCUGUAUGGUUGCCCCUUCCUGCUUUCAACUCCCCCACCGCCAGAGACUACUCCUCUAGACAGCUACCUCCCCUACUUUACUCAGGAUUAGGAGGAGGGGCACUAGUCCACUCUCACCUGGCCAUAGCCCGACUGACCUCACAACUCCAAGCGGCUAUUGAUGACUCUACUGAGUCUUUAGCAUCACUCCAACGACAGAUCACCUCAGUUGCCCAAGUUGCCUUGCAGAACCGAAGAGCCCUGGACCUGCUCACUGCUGAACGAGGAGGGACCUGUAUCUUCCUACAGGAAGAGUGCUGUUACUACAUCAAUGAAUCCGGCCUAGUAGAAACCCAAAUCGAGAGCCUCCAGAAACUCAAAACUAACCUGCAGAGUCAGAAGUUCUCGGCUGAAGCCACGGCGUGUUCCUAUAGCGGCGCUUUCAAGAACUGACUCGAGUCACCAUCCACCAGAUGCUGCUCCAACCCUACCCUGAACGAGUGCAAGAAACAGACCUCUCCCCGAACAUCCAGGCUCGUUAAGAAAAGAGACCUCUUCAGAACCCCCCGUCGACCCUUGUCAGCAGGAAGUAGCUAGAGAGACAACCGACGCCCCUGACCCCCUCUUUUUCUUUUCUUUAAGGAGUCGGGAAUGUUUGGAAAACUCUGCCCCUACCGCAAAAUCUCUCUCUCUUUCCCUCCCCCACAAAGAGGCUCCCUUAUCUCUCACUUUACAUACCGGUCCUAGCCCUCCCGCCGCCCAGCUUCCCGCCCAGCAGUUCAAACUGACCAACAGUUGCCCACCACCUCGGCUUUUGGCUUCCCCACCCCCCAGCCCUUCAGCCCCCUAUAAAACAACCCUGCCCCUCUGAGCAGCGCGGCCAUUUUUCCUUUUCGUCCCGGCUGGCCCGCCCGGAGGCUCUUUCCUCUCAAUAAAGCCUGAACUUAAGGAAUUUCCUCUAGCCUGCGGUCCGGUUUCUUUCCCAAUGAGCCCAGUCUUCCCGCA